UGAACGCUGGCGGCAUGCCUAACACAUGCAAGUCGAACGCGAAAGCACCUUCGGGUGUUAGUAGAGUGGCGGACGGGUGAGUAAUGCUUGGGAAUCUGCCUAGUAGUGGGGGAUAACUCGAGGAAACUCGAGCUAAUACCGCAUACGCCCCACGGGGGAAAGAUUUAUCGCUAUUAGAUGAGCCCAAGUCAGAUUAGCUAGUUGGUGGGGUAAAAGCCUACCAAGGCGACGAUCUGUAGCUGGUCUGAGAGGACGAACAGCCACACUGGGACUGAGACACGGCCCAGACUCCUACGGGAGGCAGCAGUGGGGAAUAUUGGACAAUGGGCGAAAGCCUGAUCCAGCAAUGCCGCGUGUGUGAAGAAGGCCUGCGGGUUGUAAAGCACUUUCAGUUGGGAAGAUUAUGACGUUACCAACAGAAGAAGCACCGGCUAACUCC
rnacentral:rRNA from 1 species